CGCAAAAUUUGCGCCACAGCUCCUGGGGUUUACCCAACUAAAGUGAUGCGUCUCGCCUCGGGUCUCCACAUGUUUUGAACUUAUACUUCAAGUAUAAAAGGAAAAAGAAACACGCCCAUCAUUCGUUGAUGCGUUUCUACGGUUGCUGAAGUUUCUGCUUGAAGGUCAACCUCUAUAUCACUUUCCGGUGUAUAUAUACGGCGAAAGGUUGGACUGGAAACAGAGAACAGGCAUCAGCGACGCAGGAUCUGCCCCGACAUGUUUAAGUUACUGCUUGUGAUGUUGCUACUGGCAGCUGUGGUGACCGUCGCUGUCGCCCAGUUUGGAAGGGGCGGCUAUGGUGGCGGAAGAGGCGGCUACGGAAGAGGCGGCUAUGGAGGUGGAAGAGGCGGCUAUGGAGGUGGAAGAGGCGGCUAUGGAGGUUAUGGAAGAGGUGGCAGAGGCGGCUACUACAGAGGAUAACAGGCCGCUCAAACUCUUUUCCUGUACACAGCGUCUGUUCUCCUUCAUUAAACGUCUUCUUCAUCCUC